GUGUCCAGAUUAGCCAUGCAUGUCUCAGUAUAAACAACUUUAUACUGUAAACUGCGAACGGCUCAUUAUAUCAGCAAUUAUUUAUUUGAUGGUCUCUUACUACAUGGAUAACUGUGGUAAUUCUAGAGCUAAUACAUGCGUAAAAUCCCGACUCUCGCGGGGAGGGAUGUAUUUAUUAGAUAAAAAACCAAUGCGGGCUUGCCCGGUCUUGUGGUGAAUCAUAAUAACUUUUCCAAUCGCAUGGCUUCAUGCUGGCGAUAGUUCAUUCACAUUUCUGCCCUAUCACCUUUCGACGGUAUUGUACUGGACUACCGUGGCGUUAACGGGUGACGGAGAAUUAGGGUUCGAUUCCGGAGAGGGAGCCUGAAAAACGGCUACCACAUCCAAGGAAGGCAGCAGGCGCGCAAAUUAACCAAUCCUGACACAGGGAGGUAGUGACAAAAAAUAUCAAUAUCUGGCUUUUUUAAGUCGGGUAAUUGGAAUGAGUACAAUUUAAAUCC
rnacentral:rRNA from 1 species